AUUGAACGCUGGCGGCAGGCGUAAAACAUGCAAGUCGAACGAGUGGCGGACGGGUGAGCAAUGCUUGGGUAUCUAGUUUAUGGAGGGGGAUAACUACGGGAAACUGUAGCUAAUACCGCGUACCAUAGGAUGAGCCCAAGUGGGAUUAGGUAGUUGGUGAGGUAAAGGCUCACCAAGCCGACGAUCUCUAGCUGGUCUGUGAGGAUGAUCUGCCGCAUUGGGACUGAGACACUGCCCAGACUCCUACGGGAGGCAGCAGGGGGGAACAUUGCGCAAUGGAGGCAACGUGACGCAGCCAGGCCGCGUGAAUGAAGAAGUCCUUCGGGUUGUAAAGUUCUUUCGGUAGCGAGGCGUUAACUACAGAAGAAGCACCGGCUAACUCCGUGCCAGCAGCCGCGGUAAUAC
rnacentral:rRNA from 1 species